UACGCUCCCACGGUUGUCACACCCUUUGUCUUUUGCGUACUGUAUGUUUCCUCGGUGGGCUCGCCCGCCGAUAGGACAUUUUCACACCCUUUGUAAUUGCAAUCAGCGUCAGUGAAAAAUUAUAAUAGUUAAAACUUUCAACAACGGAUCUCUUGGUUCUGGCAUCGAUGAAGAACGCAGCGAAAUGCGAAAAGUAGUGUGAAUUGCAGAAUUCAGUGAAUCAUCGAAUCUUUGAACGCACAUUGCGCCCCUUGGUAUUCCAUGGGGCAUGCCUGUUCGAGCGUCAUUUGUACCCUCAAGCUCAGCUUGGUGUUGGGUGUUUGUCCCGCCGUUGCGCGUGGACUCGCCUCAAAGCAAUUGGCAGCCGGCACAAGCCUGGGAGCGCAGCACAAUCGCUGUUUCCAGACUGCGUGUCGAGCGUCCAGCAAGCCUUUUAUUCUUGCGUUUGACCUCGGAUCAGGUAGGGAUACCCGCUGAACUUAAGCAUAUCAAUAAGCGGAGGAGAAGAAACCAACAGGGAUUGCCCUAGUAACGGCGAGUGAAGCGGCAUCAGCUCAAAUUUGAAAUCUGGCUCUUUCAGGGUCCGAGUUGUAAUUUGCAGAGGGCGCUUUGGCGUUGGCAGCGGUCCAAGUUCCUUGGAACAGGACGUCACAGAGGGUGAGAAUCCCGUACGUGGUCGCUGGCCUUCACCGUGUAAAGCCCCUUCGACGAGUCGAGUUGUUUGGGAAUGCAGCUCUAAAUGGGAGGUAAAUUUCUUCUAAAGCUAAAUACUGGCCAGAGACCGAUAGCGCACAAGUAGAGUGAUCGAAAGAUGAAAAGCACUUUGGAAAGAGAGUCAAAUAGCACGUGAAAUUGUUGAAAGGAAAACGCUUGCAGCCAGACUUGCCUGUA
rnacentral:misc_RNA from 1 species